UCGGCCAAACGGGACGAGACCAGUCGUCCAAUUGCUGACAAGAAAAUCAAAGGGUAGGAAUGGGAAUGUAUCCAAUCAGCGUCGACGUUGUUUCAGAAGCAUGACGGGCGAUAGAGCUACCGCCAAAGGCUUUCGUUAGUGCUCGGUAGAACUCGGAGAUCUACUCCAGCACGUUUUUGGUCGUGACUCGUGAUGGUCGUGACGCAUACGGAAUAAACAUGGAAGCCAGUGCGCCUACAACCAGCAGCAGCAUGGAUACCGGAUCUCAGCAGCCACUGAAUUCAGUUCGGUCUCUUCUCCAGUUCGAGAGGAGAACUAUGGUGGAAAAACUUAAUGUCAAAGAGCUUGGACCAGAUCAGCCCGACGUAAAGAUAAGCCAGCAGGAGGAGGAGAGAGAUGAGGCAUGGAUUGAGUCAGGAGUUACGAACAUGAAACAUUUUUCUGAGAAGGUGAAGAAACAUGAGUUAUCCCGGGCGCACAUGGACAACACGGUGAAGCUAGCUAUGCUAGGCAGAGCUAACAUAGCCAUGCAGCUCGAGACGAGGGACGCAGGCUUGCAGUGAAUAAACACAAUGAAGAAGUGGAUCAGAACCGGCACAUUUUGUCCAAGAGAGAGAGAUGUCAGCACAGUGUAUGAGCACAAUGAUGACCUCCUCAGAUUUUUCCAGAUGAUCAGACUCGGAUGACUUUGAUCCAGUCACUGAGAGAGAGGCAGGAGGCUUUGUGAGAAUGCUGGAGGAAGAAGAUUUCGGCUUUCUGCUGGCAUUGUUUCACAAGAUCAUGCCACAUGUGGACAUGCUGUUCAACCAGCUGCAGAAGAGGAACAUUGAGUCUGUCUCCAUCACAGGGGUCAUCCAGAGCUUCACCAACAGUAUGCAAAAGAUCAGAUGCAUUUUUCACGGAGGCUUUUUAUUGUUUUAUGUUAGAUUCGUUUUUGUAAAUAAUGAAAGAAAUCAGGAAAUCUUCUAGAAAUAGGAAAUGUUCCUCAAGAUCUGUUGAUGAGGAGCAAGAUGUGCCCUCAUCGUUUUUCCAUCACAAACGCAGAAAACAAAACCUCCAUAUACAUCUGUGGUUGAGGAUUCAGGUGCGAGUGAAGAUGAUUUCCCAUCACAGCUGCAAGAUUCUUCUGAUGAGCCAUUCACCAGCAAUGGGCAGUGUCAGAGGAAGGAUCUUGCUGGAGAUGCUCCACAUCUUCUGGACUCCUGGACAACAAAGUCAAACCCAGGUACUGUCACCCCACGCCACCCAGAUUUAUCCCCAGAAGAACUCCUGGCUAUCAGCUUCCCGUCAUGGAUAAACCAGGUACACGCAGUGCAAAAAAGCACUCCCUGGAUGUGCUAAGAAUGCAAGAAAGUAUUUUGUCUGCAGCAGGACAGGAAUUGCUCUGCAGAAGACCACAGCAGCUAAAAACGCCUGAACAUUGACAGACAAUAUCACCUGAAAGUCAGACACUGAAAGUUGUAAAUGUAAAAAAAUCAAUACAAGGUUGUAAUCCAUGUUAGGUUUGAUUUCUGGUAUUUCAGAUUUUUUAUUCAUGUACAUCUGUAUUUUCUAUUCAUACAUUUCUGAAGAAAAAUGAAAUCAGUUUUUUUCUGUUAUUACAUUUUUUUUUUUGGGUAAUUUCAAACAAAAUAGCUGCAAAAUCUUUACAGAUGAUACGGAAAGCUAAGCUUGUCCUGAAAAUGUUUUGUGCAGAUACGACCUUUUUUGACAAAUUUAUUCAAAGAUAAAGAUAAACAAGGCCAGGCAGAGUUGAAUAAUGGCAGAACUAAAAGGUUUUAAGAGCUGGAAUUACAGUAACAUGAAGCUGAGCUCACAGCUGGUAAUGGGGCUCAGGAGGUGACUGUGCUCAUUACGUGCUUUAUGAGAAUACCUUUGAUGAGCAAUCAAAUCACAGGUAUGACGUAGAGGCUGCUAGAGCACGCAGAGAGAGUCGGGAGAUGAAGAAUCCAGCAGGAGAGAUGGUCCGUUAUGUAGGAAGGAAGAAAAAUAGCGCGGCAGAGAAACAAAACACGACGUUUUAAAAACAGCUGCUGUGUGCUUCCUAACCUCAGUGAGCGUCCAGAGAAGAGUGAAAACAGCCAACAUCCACAGCUAUGUUGGAUGUUUAUCAGAGAGAACAUAUGUGUUGAUAUGAAUUCACACUAUUAAAGGUAAAAUGUUCCUUUGGAAGUAAAGUGAUGUUUACAUGCUAAAUACAUAUCCCAUUACCUGACUAAGCUUGGUGUGAACAUUCAAGUCACUAUGAAAUCUGCUGCAAGCCUCUAAGGUGACAGAGCUUCAUUGCAAGUGCUAUAUGUGACUGAUGGGUUAGAAAACAUGUGAGAGUUUCUAAAAUGUGUCACAUGUGAGGUUAAAAUGUAGAAAGUGGUGUGUGUGCUUUAAGCUGCCCAACAUUUUUGAGUGUGUGACCUUUGUUAAAUGUGAUCCACUUCCUGCUGUAAUGUGGACUUUUAUAGAGCUGAGUAACUGGAGUAGAUUACACACCUAAGUAGCUGUAGUACAUUACACACCUUGUCGCGUGCCCGUCCCAUUUACCGGUUCCUUUAAAACCUAGUUCCGUUAGAACUUAUGAGACGGUGCAUCCAUCAGGGUUCGAUGGGGAUGUCGGUGAGUAUUAUAGUAUUAGAUCCUGGUUUGGGCGUCCUAAGUUAGAAUCAUAUCUUUUAUUUUAAAGGUGAAAUAAUAUGUAAGACCUUUCCUUCUGUAGUAGCUCACUUCUUUUUAAGCAAUCCCGUUAUCUUAAGGUUUCUUUAUAUUAAUCUGUCACAAACCGUAAAGUAAGUCCUGAUAAUUCCAGAACCCAUAAUUAAUGUGCUUACCUCUGUGCAAUUAAUGAUCAGAGCCCCCACUCGUGAAGCUUUAGAGAAAACCUGAAAGAAUCAGGAUUAUGUUUCUUUUUCAAAAAAGGUUUAUUACAAAAUCAAAAUACAAAAAUGGGUAGAUGAAAAAACAACUGCUAUCCCCCACGGAGGAAUUAGUUCAAAAUGAUUAAAUAAGAGUUAGUUUACACCAGCUCUUGUCUUCUCAGAAUCGAACUCUUUCUAGUCUCUCUCUCUCUGUCAUCCCCCAUCCAGGUUUGGACGGGGGAUGACCCCUCCCCAUCUGCUCUCCUCUCUGUCCUCUGCCCCAACUGCUGUCGAAUCUCUCAAUCUCCAUCUGCUGUUCAGAGCUGUUCUUAUAUACCCUUCCUGGACCAGCUUAAGGUCAUGGGGUCAUUUACCAGAUACACACUUUGUAGCUCAACACAAAACAUUUGGUGUCAUUUUCCUUCUUAACACAGGUCAUUGCAUCAUCUUUUGCAGCAUUCUUCAGUUUCUCUCCAAUGUUCCCGAGAGGGCUUCUGGAUCUGAUGGGCUUGUCUUCAUUCUGUUCUCCUCCAAUCCCAUCUUUCCAAGCCAGGGGUGGGGCAAAGAGGUGGGGUCAGUCUCCUGACCCUUCGCCCAGUUCUGUCCUCUUGUCCCUGUGACCCUUGUGUGACCCUUGUUUCUGACCACAGUUUUUUUGACCUGCAGCCCAGCUCCUGUCGACUGGCUGAUUUUGCUCGCACAAGCCAGUCCAGUAUGGCUCACCUUUUGACCCCGUACUUGCCACUGUCUUUGGCAUGUGGGACUCGCAACAUCCCCCAUGCGAGAAAAAUCUAGCCAGGGGACUGCAACAGCCUUCUUUGGGGUGGGGCUGCCUCCUCCUCUGGAUCAUCUUCAUCUCCAGUCUCAGACCCAGAGUCUGACUAGCUCAGAGUCCAGAUACACACCAUCAUCAUCAUCACUCACUUCAGUCUCUGAAGAACCAGAUGUUUGUUCAUGAGGGUUCAGAACUGGGUUCCUGCUUCUCCACCAGUUUCUACUUCCAUCUGGUCAGCUGAGCUGCUGGUUGGAACAUCUCAGUCUCCACCUUCAAGCAGAGACUCUCUCCCUCCAGACUGAAGACAUCUUUUACUGCAGAGCUUCAAAUAUUCUCCUCACACACCUGAACAGCAACAAGCUAACUCUGCUUGCAGCUGCAGGUGGGAAGCUUACGCUAAAAACUAUAAAGUGUGGCAAGGUGGUUUAAUGAGGGCCCGGGCGGGAUUCGAUCCCGAGACCCCCGGGGUGGGAGUCAUACGCUCUAACCACUCAGCCAAAGGGACAUUCCCUUAGCUAACUAGCCAGGGCGCAUCAUCAAUCAAGACAUUGUGACAGAACGCUCACACUGUCACACCUUCCCCCCUCUUUCCACCAGCGCGUCCUCGUACUCCCGCGCAGGGUGCCACAAACUUCACAUCCACGGACCUACUUGACAGUACUACAUGGAUCCUGCCAACAACACCAAAUGUGGCAAGGUUAAAAAUGCUUACGCCUUUUUAGUGUAGCUGUCUGUCAGGUCAGAAUCAUACGGAGCUGUUAGUUCAGGACUCUCCCUUCUCAACAGAACUAGUAGGGGGAGGGGUGAUGUCACCACAUCCUGCUUGUCUGUUGUUGCUCAGCUGACUGAGUGCUUUUUCUCUGUUCAGCUGUGGCUUCUCAUAUCUGCAGGCUGCCGAGAGCGGAAGCUAGGUGCUUGUUUCAAGCAGAUCCUCUAAAAACAAAGUUUAAUUGGAGCAGAGUUCCAAUGCUCCCAGUUAUAAGUCCGUCCUUUACAGGCGGCACGGUUUCUCCCCUCACGGAGCCCUUAAGCACAGAGGUUCACACAUUAUACAUGUUCCCGGCUUCUAGCCUCCAUUGCGCGUGACGAUGCCCGACAUGAGAUUCUAUGAAGCUAGGAAACAUGAUUACUUUACAGUUCGUGACAAAUACCUCCCCGUGUUACCAGAAACGAGGCCCAAGUCACACAGAUUCUUACAUAUCAGUCCUUCACUAGAUUUUGAUCCAGCCAUGACGUUUAAUCGCAUCUCACUUGUGCCUCAGCACCCGGACAGCGCCCCGCUGCGGCUUGAGCCGUUCCGGCCUCGUUCUGAAAGCUCCGGUUACAGGAUAUUGAAAGAUCUAUCUGCCAUGGCUGGUUAAAAGUUUUUCUUAUUCUUUAUUUAUUUUUAUUUUUUGCCUAGCUUUUAUCCUUGGCUUUUCUUGCGUCGGAAUGCCGUAUUUUCUUUAUACCUUUUUAAGUUGAUCGUCCGUUCUCCCAGAUUUCUUUCUUUUUCGAGAAACUGGUGCGGUUUUCACUCCAAGGUUAUAAGCUUAAUAGGUCCUUAGCGCGCAAGCUUUUAUCAGCCUAAAAGACAGUUCUACGUCGGAUAGCCCGGUAUCUAAUAUUUAGACCUUCACUCCGUAGCCCCACGUUUGGCGCGCCAUGUCGCGUGCCCGUCCCAUUUACCGGUUCCUUUAAAACCUAGUUCCGUUAGAACUUAUGAGACGGUGCAUCCAUCAGGGUUCGAUGGGGAUGUCGGUGAGUAUUAUAGUAUUAGAUCCUGGUUUGGGCGUCCUAAGUUAGAAUCAUAUCUUUUAUUUUAAAGGUGAAAUAAUAUGUAAGACCUUUCCUUCUGUAGUAGCUCACUUCUUUUUAAGCAAUCCCGUUAUCUUAAGGUUUCUUUAUAUUAAUCUGUCACAAACCGUAAAGUAAGUCCUGAUAAUUCCAGAACCCAUAAUUAAUGUGCUUACCUCUGUGCAAUUAAUGAUCAGAGCCCCCACUCGUGAAGCUUUAGAGAAAACCUGAAAGAAUCAGGAUUAUGUUUCUUUUUCAAAAAAGGUUUAUUACAAAAUCAAAAUACAAAAAUGGGUAGAUGAAAAAACAACUGCUAUCCCCCACGGAGGAAUUAGUUCAAAAUGAUUAAAUAAGAGUUAGUUUACACCAGCUCUUGUCUUCUCAGAAUCGAACUCUUUCUAGUCUCUCUCUCUCUGUCAUCCCCCAUCCAGGUUUGGACGGGGGAUGACCCCUCCCCAUCUGCUCUCCUCUCUGUCCUCUGCCCCAACUGCUGUCGAAUCUCUCAAUCUCCAUCUGCUGUUCAGAGCUGUUCUUAUAUACCCUUCCUGGACCAGCUUAAGGUCAUGGGGUCAUUUACCAGAUACACACUUUGUAGCUCAACACAAAACAUUUGGUGUCAUUUUCCUUCUUAACACAGGUCAUUGCAUCAUCUUUUGCAGCAUUCUUCAGUUUCUCUCCAAUGUUCCCGAGAGGGCUUCUGGAUCUGAUGGGCUUGUCUUCAUUCUGUUCUCCUCCAAUCCCAUCUUUCCAAGCCAGGGGUGGGGCAAAGAGGUGGGGUCAGUCUCCUGACCCUUCGCCCAGUUCUGUCCUCUUGUCCCUGUGACCCUUGUGUGACCCUUGUUUCUGACCACAGUUUUUUUGACCUGCAGCCCAGCUCCUGUCGACUGGCUGAUUUUGCUCGCACAAGCCAGUCCAGUAUGGCUCACCUUUUGACCCCAUACUUGCCACUGUCUUUGGCAUGUGGGACUCGCAACAACCUGAGUAACUGGAGUAGAUUACACACCUGAGGAUGAGAGCCAGUAGUUUAUAUUUAAUGUGAGUAAACUGCAUCUACCUGACAUCACUCAGAGACAAAGUACUUCUGACUCUUAAAGUCAUUUAUUAAAAGCAUGCCUGUUACAAACUCAAGUAUUUCAGUGUAAAAAUAACUUCACAUGUGUGAUAUGCACGUGGAGUCACAAGUUAACUUUUAUCUGCUAAGGUGUUCACUGCAGUCAAAACACCCUCCAUGCUUCUGCUGGUUGGCUGCUUUGUCCAGGUGAGCUGUGUGUUUUUAGACUGCCUGUCUGUCAGUUCACAGAAGAACUGCAUCAUGGUAUUAAACUGUUCAUCUGCCCUGUUUUCAGCCUCUGACCCAAGCAUCUGUACUGUCUUGUGGUUCUGUGUACAGUGAGUUUGCAGCGCUGCAGUGCUCUUGUUCAGGCUUGGUGUGGAGGCCUUUUACACCUGUUGAUUUACUGUGAUCUUGUCAUGGCUCUGCUUUUCCUCUGCUGCUGUGCUCUUAACCCCUUCUUUCCACAGGAGUCGUCAGCAGCACGUUACUGCAGCAGCACGUCAUAGCUGCUGAUAGGAGCCGCUGUGGUCAACAGAACCUUUUCCACCGGAGCCGUCAGCAGCGCGAGUCGGCCGCGUCUCAGGAGCAGCAUGUCGCGGCCUUUACGCGCCGGUUCUAUUUUCUACGCGCGAUGCCUCUGAAACUGGUCAAGUUCGACAUUUUUGGGGAAGGAAAGACAGGAAAUCGGACGCGGAAAUGGAGAGAAGCUCCCGAGAUUUUCAGAAUAAAGAAACGUACUGCCUUCGGUUGCUUUACUUUAAAAAAGGUUACUAACUGUGCGGCCCCGUGAGAAGUUAUCACCAGGCUAGCGGUCUCCUUUGUUUUUCAGGUCCGUAUUGGCGAUUAUAAAACGGACAGAACAUAAAACACAAACCAUGUUGUAGUUUUCUCCUGCUUGUUGUUGUGUUUACUGACGAAGUCACUCGUGUGACUUCGUGCUCGGUCGGUGACAGCUGCUCCCCUGCUGCUUCACGUCUCGUGGGAAGGGCCGAGCAGCAGCUUGACGUGCUGCUGCAGUAACGUGCUGCUGACGGCUCCAGUGGAAAGAAGGGGUAAGUGUUUGCAGGUGAGCAGGUUGGAGAGCCCCAGCUGCAGCUGAUGACCAUCAGCCAGGCCAGAGGAUAUAAGGAGCAGUGUUGCCACACUUCAGCGCCGGUUGAUACUCUAUUGUUGGUACCAGCCCUGGAUUCUUACCUCAGCUUCCUGCUGUCUGAAGUGGAUUUUUCACCCAACGCCGCUCAACUCCUCUGGUCUCCCGCUCUCCACCUCUCACCUGUCCUGGAUUACUUCACUGCCUGCUACUCCUCUCCACCAGACCAUCUCCAGCUCAAACCUGACUUGCCUCCCUCUCCUGCUCAAAACCCCACUUCACACAGAUUGGAAUACUCCCCCUGGCCCAGUUUGGAUCAGCGCUUUUUGUUAUUAUUUUUCUUUAUAAUAAAACAUGUAUAAUUUUA